CUACGUUGAAACACCGGUUCUCGUAAGAUCACCGAAGUUAAGUAACGUUGGGCUUGGUCAGUACCGAUAUGGGUGACCUAUUGAGAAUACCAGGUGCUAU